UUGGUUUCAUGGUUAGCUCUCUCUCUCUCUCUCUCUCCCCUCACUCAAAUCAACUGUUUCAGAAGAAGAUGGAUAUAUCAUUUUCUUCAGCUUUCUAAUACUUCCUUUCUUCUAUAAACAGGUAUUAAGCUUGCAUGAAACAACUGCUGCAUAUGUCAGUGUGUAGUAAAUUGGCACCAUUUUGCUUAUAGUAUUGAUCCUCCUCAACUGCAUAAUUAAACCAGCAAGAUCUGCCAUGUCUAAAGCUCGAAAGGAACAGUGAGGCAGAAACUCAUCGUUUGACAUCGAAUCAGAAGAUUAGCAAAUGACGAGCACUUGCCUCAGCUGUUAAUUUGUGAGGAAGGGAACCAGCUGCUGGUGCAGGUGAUGAUGGCGGUGGCGGUGUUGAAGGAGAAUAGCGAGAGAAGGAGGCGAGAGAGAUGGCAGAUUUGACAAUCGUUCCGAAGAUGCUAACCAAAGUUGGAUUAGCUAACAUUCUGGGGGUCCCAUCGUUUAUUAUAUUUUAUGUUAAUUUUGAGUGAAUAUGUGAUGAGGAUACAAUUAUAACACAAAUUUAAAAUUAAAAUGUUUGGAGUUUAAAUUUAUU
rnacentral:lncRNA from 1 species